AACAACAUCAAAGAAGAAACAAGAUGGCGUAGGGUUGCUUGGUAGUUUUCAUGGCCGUGUUUCCUAACAGGGUUUGUUACUGGUGCCUAUGCUGACAAAAUUUGAAGUUUAGUUGCUGAGCAUUUUGCUGUUAGUCAAUAGAAAAUAAUAAAAAUGGAUCCUGAGACCACAGCAAUACAGAAAAUUCAAAGUAAUGGCAACAGACCUGAAGAAUGGCUGGAAUUUUUGGCCCUGCAGCAAUCGAAGACAGCUGCUGGUCUUACUGAUGAGAGCUGUCGUCAUCUACUAUAUCUCUAUGAAAGAGCUGUGAGUCAGAUUCCAGCUGAGGAAAAUAAGAAGAAUUUUUCCUAUGCUCAACUCCUUGUGGAUUUUGCAAAACUUCAAACGAGAGUAUCUGAGGAUGAUGCAAGGAGUACAUUCCAGUUGGCAAGAAGCAAUGCCAAACACUUUGCUAUUGUUUUUGUUGCUUGGGCUCAGUUUGAGCUUUCAACAGGUUUGAAUCCAAUUCUUCCUUUCAUAUUAUAUAUUCAUAUAUCCAUAUUAGUUAUUUGCACAUGAAAACUGAAUCCUGAAUGAGGGGUGUUUUUUUUAAAUUAAAUUUUGUGACCUAAUCCACCUUACAGCUGUAGUUUAUGAUUACAAUGCAUGUAGAAAUAAGUCAUGUAACCUAUAUAAGGGUUAACCUGAAUGAGGGGUGUUUUUUUAUUUUGCAUUUUUUGACCUAAUCCACCUUAGUUUAUGAUUACAAAGCACAUAGAAAGAAGUUGCAUAACCUAUAUACCUGUAUAUACAACAUACUUCACA